AGCUCUUGUGGCCUGAGUGGUUAGAGAAGCUGUCUCUGAUACAAUAGGUCGCGGGUUCGAACCCCAGCUGAGUCA